ACGAGAGAUCCUUCCGCAGUGAUACUUAUUGAAGCCUUUGCAGCCCCGCCAGGGGUAGACCUCCCGCGACUAUAAACAACGGGUUAGGCAAUGCAAGUUAGCCUUUGCUAGCGACACUUUCGAAUUGCGGGGAUCGUCUAAAGCGAGACUCUACCAACCCGGCAAGGGAACUUGCCGUGGGGGCCUAUGCUAACAACAUGGGGCACGGUAAGAACGAGCCUUGAUACAUGGACAAUCCGCAGCCAAUUCCCUAAGACCGUCCGGCCUGUAGGGGCCGGAGGUGGGAAAGGUUCACAGACUAAGUGGAAGUGGGCGGGAGAUGGUCCUGCUUAAGAUAUAGUCGGGCUCCCUAGGGAAACCCAGGGAGGAUGGGCAAGUCACUGCCUAUAGUGAGGGCGAGCACGCCUAUACAUACAUGCAUCAUGUACGUGGGUGCCGUCUAACUAUACAUACCGUUCCGUAGGUGAACCUGCGGAAGGAUCAUUACCGAGUAAGGGGUCCUCUGGGCCCCAACUCCCCACCCUUUGUGUACGUACUCCGUUGCUUCGGCGGGCCCGCGGCGUGAAAACCCGCCGUCGGCCCAGGCUGACGAGCGCCCGCCAGAGGACCUUCAAAACCUAUUUAUCAGUGUCGUCUGAGUUCAGCUUCGAAUAUAGUAAAACUUUCAACAACGGAUCUCUUGGUUCUGGCAUCGAUGAAGAACGCAGCGAAAUGCGAUAAGUAAUGUGAAUUGCAGAAUUCAGUGAAUCAUCGAAUCUUUGAACGCACAUUGCGCCCCUUGGUAUUCCGAGGGGCACGCCUGUUCGAGCGUCAUUACACCCCUCAAGCUCGGCUUGGUAUUGGGCCCUCGUCCCCAAGGACGUGCCCGAAACUCCUCGGCGGCGGCGCCUUGCUUCAAGCGUAGUGAAAUCACAAUCUCGCUUUGGAAGUGGAGGCAUCGCCCGCCGGACGAACCCAAAUCUUUCCAAGUUUGACCUCGGAUCAGGCGGGGAUACCCGCUGAACUUAAGCAUAUCAAUAAGCGGAGGAAAAGAAACCAACAGGGAUUGCCCUAGUAACGGCGAGUGAAGCGGCAACAGCUCAAAUUUGAAAUCUGGCGCCUUCGGUGCCCGAGUUGUAAUUUGCAGAGGAUGCUUCGGCGUCGGCUCCGGUCUAAGUCCCUUGGAACAGGGCGUCACAGAGGGUGAGAAUCCCGUACGUGGCCGGCCGCCUCAGCCAUGUGAAGCUCCUUCGACGAGUCGAGUUGUUUGGGAAUGCAGCUCUAAACGGGAGGUAAAUUUCUUCUAAAGCUAAAUACCGGCCAGAGACCGAUAGCGCACAAGUAGAGUGAUCGAAAGAUGAAAAGCACUUUGAAAAGAGAGUUAAAAAGUACGUGAAAUUGUUGAAAGGGAAGCGCUUGCAGCCAGACUUGACCGCGGAUGCUCAACCGGCCCUUCGGCCGGUGCACUCUUCCGCGGUCAGGCCAGCGUCGGUUUGGGCGGCCGGAUAAAGGCCCCGGGAAUGUAGCUCCUCUCGGGGAGUGUUAUAGCCCGGGGCGUAAUACGGCCAGCCCGGACCGAGGACCGCGCU
rnacentral:rRNA from 1 species